rnacentral:tRNA from 1 species
CGGGAUGUGGCGCAGCUUGGCUAGCGCACCUGCUUUGGGAGCAGGGGGUCGGAGGUUCGAAUCCUCUCAUCCCGA